rnacentral:rRNA from 1 species
UGGGGAAUUUUGCACAAUGGGGGAAACCCUGAUGCAGCGACGCCGCGUGAUUUAGAAGGCCUUCGGGUUGUAAAAAUCUUUUUUACGGGAUGAAAAUGACAGUACCGUAAGAAUAAGGUCCGGCUAAAUACGUGCCAGCAGCCGCGGUAAUACGUAUGGAGCGAGCGUUGUCCGGAAUUAUUGGGCGUAAAGGGUACGCAGGCGGUUUAAUAAGUCGAAUGUUAAAGAUCGGGGCUCAACCCCGUAAAGCAUUGGAAACUGAUAAACUUGAGUAGUGGAGAGGAAAGUGGAAUUCCUAGUGUAGUGGUGAAAUACGUAGAUAUUAGGAGGAAUACCAGUAGCGAAGGCGACUUUCUGGACACAAACUGACGCUGAGGUACGAAAGCGUGGGGAGCAAACAGG